rnacentral:rRNA from 1 species
UGGGGAAUUUUCCGCAAUGGGCGAAAGCCUGACGGAGCAAGACCGCGUGAGGGAGGAAGGCCUACUGGUUGUAAACCUCUUUUGAUAGGGAAGAAGAAAGUGACGGUACCUAUCGAAUCAGCAUCGGCUAACUCCGUGCCAGCAGCCGCGGUAAUACGGAGGAUGCAAGCGUUAUCCGGAAUUAUUGGGCGUAAAGCGUCCGUAGGUGGUUAUUCAAGUCAGCUGUCAAAGGAUGGAGCUUAACUCCAUAAAGGCAGUUGAAACUGUGUAGCUAGAGUGCGAUAGGGGCAAGGGGAAUUCCCAGUGUAGCGGUGAAAUGCGUAGAUAUUGGGAAGAACAUCGGUGGCGAAAGCGCCUUGCUGGGUCUGCACUGACACUGAGGGACGAAAGCU